AGAUGAAGAGAUAGAACAUAUCCAUAAAAAGAUAACUAAUGACCGACAUUGCGUGCUGCCGACACGUGUUAUGGUCCUGCGGGCUACAGAAAUUCAGAGGAGGAAGACAGAUGACUGCAGUGUGGCAGCUGCUCCUCGGGCACUUACAGGAGCUUGUUAGGAUGAGGACAGAAGACUUCAUAGCACAGAGGGAACUGUGACACCAGCUUUAUAUCACACGAUAGAAAAUACCCAGUUCUGUGAGUUGACUGGGCAUUCUGCAUCACAAGGUGUGGCUGGGCACUGGAACAGCCGAAGUCACCUGGGAGCUGACUGGGUUGGACUGUCCAGGAUGGUUCACUCCUACGACAGUGGAUGCUCAACUGGGGCUGUCAACUGGAGCCCCCAUAGGUAACAUCUCCCAGCAUGGCAGCUCUGUUCCAAGAGGGAGUGCCGCAUGAGAAUCAGGAAGCAGCUG
rnacentral:lncRNA from 10 species